rnacentral:rRNA from 1 species
UACGUAGGGUGCAAGCGUUAAUCGGAAUUACUGGGCGUAAAGCGUGCGCAGGCGGUUUUGUAAGUCUGUCGUGAAAUCCCCGGGCUUAACCUGGGAAUGGCGAUGGAGACUGCAAGGCUAGAGUUUGGCAGAGGGGGGUAGAAUUCCACGUGUAGCAGUGAAAUGCGUAGAGAUGUGGAGGAACACCGAUGGCGAAGGCAGCCCCCUGGGUUAAAACUGACGCUCAUGCACGAAAGCGUGGGGAGCAAACAGG